GCGGCUGUAGUGUAGGUGGUUAUCACUGUUCGUUGUGGCUGAUUAGAUCAUAACUGAGCCAACCGCUGUUCGACUCAGCGCAGCCGCA